AGUGAACGCUGGCGGUAGGCCUAACACAUGCAAGUCGAACGGCAGCACAGUAAGAGCUUGCUCUUACGGGUGGCGAGUGGCGGACGGGCGAGGAAUACAUCGGAAUCUACUUUUUCGUGGGGGAUAACGUAGGGAAACUUACGCUAAUACCGCAUACGACCUACGGGUGAAAGCAGGGGAUCUUCGGACCUUGCGCGAUUGAAUGAGCCGAUGUCGGAUUAGCUAGUUGGCGGGGUAAAGGCCCACCAAGGCGACGAUCCGUAGCUGGUCUGAGAGGAUGAUCAGCCACACUGGAACUGAGACACGGUCCAGACUCCUACGGGAGGCAGCAGUGGGGAAUAUUGGACAAUGGGCGCAAGCCUGAUCUAGCCAUACCGCGUGGGUGAAGAAGGCCUUCGGGUUGUAAAGCCCUUUUGUUGGGAAAGAAAAGCAGCAGGUUAAUACCCCGCUGUUCUGACGGUACCCAAAGAAUAAGCACCGGCUAACUUCGUG
rnacentral:rRNA from 1 species